CCUACGGGCGGCUGCAGUGGGGAAUAUUGCACAAUGGGCGGAAGCCUGAUGCAGCAACGCCGCGUGCGGGAUGAAGGCCUUCGGGUUGUAAACCGCUUUCACCGCCGACGAAUGUAGACGGUAGGCGGAGAAGAAGCACCGGCUAACUACGUGCCAGCAGCCGCGGUGAUACGUAGGGUGCGAGCGUUGUCCGGAUUUAUUGGGCGUAAAGAGCUCGUAGGUGGUUUGUUGCGUCGGAUGUGAAAACUUGGGGCUCAACUCCAAGCUUGCUUUCGAUACGGGCAGACUUGAGGGAGGUAGGGGAGAACGGAAUUCCUGGUGGAGCGGUGGAAUGCGCAGAUAUCAGGAGGAACACCGGUGGCGAAGGCGGUUCUCUGGACCUUUCCUGACGCUGAGGAGCGAAAGCGUGGGGAGCAAACAGGCUUAGAUACCCCGGUAGUC
rnacentral:rRNA from 1 species